rnacentral:rRNA from 1 species
GACGAACGCUGGCGGCGUGCUUAACACAUGCAAGUCGAACGGAAAGGCCCUGCUUUUGUGGGGUGCUCGAGUGGCGAACGGGUGAGUAACACGUGAGUAACCUGCCCUUGACUUUGGGAUAACUUCAGGAAACUGGGGCUAAUACCGGAUAGGAGCUCCUGCUGCAUGGUGGGGGUUGGAAAGUUUCGGCGGUUGGGGAUGGACUCGCGGCUUAUCAGCUUGUUGGUGGGGUAGUGGCUUACCAAGGCUUUGACGGGUAGCCGGCCUGAGAGGGUGACCGGCCACAUUGGGACGGAGACACGGCCCAGACUCCUACGGGAGGCAGCAGUAGGGAAUCUUGGGCAAGAGGCGGAAGUCUGAUCGAGAAACGCCGCGUGCGGGAUGACGGCCUUCGGGUUGUAAAACUCUGUUGGUAGAGAAGAACGUUGGUGAGAGUGGAAAGCUCAUCAAGUGACGGUAACUACCCAGAAAGGGACGGCUAACUACGUG